AACGAACGCUGGCGGCAUGCCUAACACAUGCCAGUCGAACGAAGGCUUCGGCCUUAGUGGCGCACGGGUGCGUAACGCGUGGGAAUCUGCCCUUUGGUUCGGAAUAACAGCUGGAAACGGCUGCUAAUACCGGAUGAUGACGAAAGUCCAAAGAUUUAUCGCCAGAGGAUGAGCCCGCGUUGGAUUGGGUAGUUGGUGGGGUAAAGGCCUACCAAGCCGACGAUCCAUAGCUGGUCUGAGAGGAUGAUCAGCCACACUGGGACUGAGACACGGCCCAGACUCCUACGGGAGGCAGCAGUGGGGAAUAUUGGACAAUGGGCGCAAGCCUGAUCCAGCAAUGCCGCGUGAGUGAUGAAGGCCCUAGGGUUGUAAAGCUCUUUUACCCGGGAAGAUAAUGACUGUACCGGGAGAAUAAGCCCCGGCUAACUCCGUG
rnacentral:rRNA from 1 species